ensembl:misc_RNA Metazoa_SRP Metazoan signal recognition particle RNA
GCUGGGUGUGGUGGCACACACCUGUAGUCCCAGCUACUUGGGAGGCUGAGUCAGGAGGAUUGCUUGAGCCCAGGGCUUCAAGGCUGCAGUGAGCAGUAAUCAUGUCACUGCACUCCAGCCCGGGCAGCAGAGUGAGACCCUGUCUCUA